GCCAGCAGCCAUAUCACUCUGCAAAUCACAACUGGAACCCCACUGAAGCUCAGCAGGUGUGAGCCUGGUCAGUACCUGGAUGGGAGACCUCCUGGGAAAAACUAAGGUUGCUGCUGGAA
rnacentral:rRNA from 1 species